AUGAACGCUAGCGACAGGCCUAACACAUGCAAGUCGAGGGGCAGCACAGGAGCAAUCUGAGGUGGCGACCGGCGCACGGGUGAGUAACACGUAUGCAACCUGCCUGUAAGCGGGGAAUAACCCGUUGAAAGACGGACUAAUACCGCAUAAUACUAAAUUACUGCAUGGUAAUUUAUUUAAACAUUUAUGGCUUACAGAUGGGCAUGCGCAUGAUUAGCUAGUUGGAGAGGUAACGGCUCCCCAAGGCAACGAUCAUUAGGGGUUCUGAGAGGAAGGUCCCCCCACACUGGUACUGAGACACGGACCAGACUCCUACGGGAGGCAGCAGUGAGGAAUAUUGGUCAAUGGACGAGAGUCUGAACCAGCCAAGUCGCGUGCAGGAAGAAUGUCCUAUGGAUUGUAAACUGCUUUUGCAGGGGAAUAAAGUGCAUCACGUGUGAUGUUUUGUAUGUACUCUGCGAAUAAGGAUCGGCUAACUCCGUGCCAGCCGCCGC
rnacentral:rRNA from 1 species